ensembl:lncRNA
AGUCUGCGCUUGUUUGGCCACAGGCAGGAGAGGCAAGGUUUUGAGAGUGUUAACACCCUUGGUGUGAAGGCUUUGGCCACCUGAUGUGAAGAGCUGACUCAUUGGAAAAGACUCUGAUGCUGGCAAGAUUGAAGACAGGAGGAGAAGGGGAUGACAGAGGAUGAGAUGGUUGGAAGGCAUCACCGACUCGAUGGACAUGAGUUUGAGCAAGCUUCAGAAGUUGGUGAUGGACAGGGAAGCCUGGUGUGCUGCAGUCCGUGGGGUCACAAAGAGUCAUACAUGACUGAGCAACUGAACUGAACUGAACUAAACUGAACUCAACAGCCUCGGUGGUGCUACUGGCAUCUAGUGGGGAGAGGACAGGAUGCUGCUAAAUAUGCUGCAAUGAACUGGACCACUCCCUCCCCAACACAUCAAUGAAGAAUCAUCCAGUUCAAUAUUCCAACAGUGCUGAGGUUGAGAAACCCAUGCUGAAUGGGUCUACUGAUGUUGGCUUCAGUCAAAUGUGAUUGUUUCACCUUGUGCCUUCCUCUCCUUGCAAUGCCUUAACAAUCAUCUAUGAUUUAGAAUCUGUAACACAUAGUCUAGAAUGAACUCAGAAGCUGAUGCUCCAAUGGUAAUACAAUAAAUUGUAAUUUUGUUUACACUCCAUUAUUAACUUGAUUCAUUUGGAUUAAUUUUAUAGUCUAUAUAGAACUGGAAGAUUUUUGUAUGAUUGUUGGUUUCUAGUUUAGUAGUUAGUCCAAUCAUGUGAUAUAAUUUCUUCUUCCUCUCCUGGCAAACAAGAGCAAAUGAUGGAAAUUUGGGAAUUGAUGCUUCCAUUUUCAACAUUAGAAGAAAUUACUGACAGACAUGGAGAUAUGCCUUCAGGACUCUCUCUGUGGGUGCAAGGAUUGGGUUGAAUGAGAUCUCAGAAAUGUAGAAUGGCAGAUGCCAAACUUUUAUAUAAGCAUUGAUAUUUUUGUGUAUGUCAAGUUUUACAAUAAGCUUAUAUUUUAGUGCUUUUGCCAACAUCAUAUCUGCUUUGUUACUUUCAGCCCAAUAUGUAAUAAUUAACUGCUUAUGUGUUUGCCUCUUCCUUUUACCUUGAGUUCCUUGAUAGCAAGAACUCCACAUCUUAUUUUCUGGCUUGGCAUGGUGCCUGUGACUUAUCAGUUGCAGUUUCAAACAGUGAAUUUUAAAUCCAUUGUAACGAGGUUCAGAUACAUCUUUAUUAAUCAAAAUAGGAACCAUUACAAUCAACAUAUUUUUGCCAAAAAGAAAUGUUUGUUUAUUCCUGUAGCAUAAAAAUCAGAAUUUGACAAACUCUUGGAAAGCAUUUUCUGCCUCCUGCUGGCUGUGGAAGCAUUUUCCCUAUAAAAACUUGUCAAGAUAUUUGAAGAAGUGCUAGUUGGUCAGCAAGAACUCAGGUCAGUAUGAUGGGUGAGGCAAAACUUCAUAGCCCAGUUCAUUCAUUUUGAAGCAUUGAUUGUGCUACGUGCAGUCAGGUGCUGUCAUGGAGAAGAAACAGGCCCAUUCUGUUGACUAAUGCUGGCUGCAGGCAUUGCAGUUUUAGGUACAUCACAUCGGUUUGCUGAGCAUACAUCUCAGAUGCAAUGGUUUUGCUGGGAUUCAUAAAGCUGUAGUGAAUCAGACAGGCAGGAAACCACUAAAGAGUGACUGUGACUUUUGUGGUGCAAGUUUGGCUUUGGGAAGUGCUUUGGAGCUUCUUUUCCAUCUAACCACUGAGCUGGUUGUCAUAUAAAAUCCACUUUUGGUCACACGUCACAAUCUGAUUGAGAAAUUUUUCCUUGUUUUUGUGCAG